UGCAGAAUCCCGUGAACCAUCGAGUUUUUGAACGCAAGUUGCGCCCGAAGCCACUCGGCCGAGGGCACGUCUGCCUGGGCGUCACGU
rnacentral:rRNA from 1 species